rnacentral:rRNA from 1 species
UGGGGAAUUUUGGACAAUGGGCGAAAGCCUGAUCCAGCCAUGCCGCGUGAGUGAAGAAGGCCUUCGGGUUGUAAAGCUCUUUUAGUCGGAAAGAAAGAGUUGCAAUGAAUAAUUGUGAUUUAUGACGGUAUCGACAGAAAAAGCAUUGGCUAACUACGUGUCAGUAGCCGUGGUAAUACGUAGGGUGCGAGCGUUAAUCGGAAUUACUGGGCGUAAAGGGUGUGCAGGCGGUCUUGCAAGUUAGAUGUGAAAGCUUCGGGCUUAACCUGGGAAUUGCGUUUGAAACUACAAGGCUAGAGUGCAGCAGAGGGGAGUGGAAUUCCAUGUGUAGCAGUGAAAUGCGUAGAGAUGUGGAAGAACACCGAUGGUGAAGGCAGCUCUUUGGGUUGACACUGACGCUCA